UAAAAGUCAAAACAAAGAUUGAAAUGGAUUUCCAGCACCAAGAAAUCCUUCACAGUAGCUUUACUGCUCGAUGUGUCUGUGUCAGUCUGGCUGACCUUUCAACCGGAUGUUGUGACGUGCUUAGACGGAAAGGGUGAAGCCAGUAAAAUAGUCCGUGGGACAGACGUAAGCUCUGGGUAGUUCUGCACUUAAAUGAUUAACUUCUCCAUAAAUUUACCGUGGACUGAUAUUUACAAAAGAAAGAAAAGACAUAUGCCGGCUGUGAUUGGUUGUACCUCUUCACAUGACAUGCGGCGCAAGU